rnacentral:lncRNA from 1 species
UUUGACAGUGUUUUUGCUUUUAAAAACAGAUCUCUUUAAAAUCUAAGAGGGGAAUGACCUCACUGUGAGAAAUAUGACUCCUGUAUUAAUUCUAUUAAAGUAGCUUUACUGACUGGGAUCAGUGCUUUAACUCAUUAACUUUGCCUUUCUUCUCUCAUGUUCAGAAGUGUGUGAGGAGGAUAUCUAGCAUUCCACUGUUCCAAUAGAGGCUGAUAAUGCUGUAGCUUUCACGAGAAAGGAAACUGGAAGUAAGAGUUAAAGCUCGUUUUCAGUGAUCAAGGCCAUAACGCAGAGAAGUGGGGAUGCAACACAUUGCAUAAUCCUGACUGCAUCCUAAAACAGUACAGGAACUUGAAGCUCUACUUUCUCUAAGGAGCUAAGUCUCUAGCUGAUAGAAAGAGGAGAGCAUUCCUGCUGAGUAUCUCCACUGAUGGAAAGACUGAAUGCAAGCUCACAAGUUCCCUGACCUCAAAUCAGUCAGCUGGUACUCCCUACACACUGCUGCUGGUCUGUCUUCUGUUAGGGCAUAACAGAGAGGUGUUUCCUGACUAA